UAGCAAUUCCAGACAGUUUAGUUCAGCAGGAAUAACGAAUGGUGGGGCCGUUUGCAACUAGUUAAGUGACACAAAGGGUAGAUGGGAGGUUUGAGAUUCCAGGCAAGCUCAGAGCCCCUUUCAGCCUGAAAACCAAAUAUCCCAGGAGCACCGGCACAGCAAGGACAGAGGUAAACAAGAGCAGCACAUUGCAUGAGCCACAUGGCAGCCUGGUCUCCACAGCUACUGCCUCCUAGGUUGCAUUGUGACCUCAUUUCUCUCUAUCCCUGCUGGGGGCACACACCAAGGUGGGAGGGGCACCAGGCACCCACGAAUGUCCCCUGACUUUAAUGAUGUGAUUUUUCAUUGCAUUGCAUCCCAUGGGUUUGACAGUACUGAAGCGGAAUAGCCAGGUGCUGAGACUGCGCUGCCGACACUCGGGAGCAGAUUCUCUGUUCCGCCAAGUGCCCUUUAUGCUUCACUGAGGGCAUGAAGGGGCCUCGGGGAGUGGACAUAGCUCCCAGCGGGAGAGCAAGAUGGCCCCGGAGUGAUGCAGGUGGCCCUAAGCUGCCUCCUGGGGGUGGCCGUGUGCCGGAGAAAGGCCAAAGUGCUCUGACUCCUCUGGACUCUGGUCGCCAUCAUCCUGCUACUUUCGCACUUGCGGGAAAGACAUUCCAGCUGGAAAACAAACUCUCAGUGGCUUGUAAGGAGCAUGCAACAGAGCUUCAGAACAACUGUACAAACCCAAGCAGACAGG